rnacentral:rRNA from 1 species
AGAGUUUGAUCAUGGCUCAGGACGAACGCUGGCGGCGUGCUUAACACAUGCAAGUCGAACGGGGUUAGGCGGAAAGUUUACUUUUUGCCCAACCUAGUGGCGGACGGGUGAGUAACGCGUGGAUAACCUGCCCAUCAGCCUGGGAUAACGCCGGGAAACCGGUGCUAAUACCGGAUACGCUCACCGGGUUGCAUAGCCUGGUGAGGAAAGGGUAUCCGCUGAUGGAUGGGUCCGCGUCCCAUUAGCUUGUUGGUAGGGUAACGGCCUACCAAGGCGACGAUGGGUAGCCGGCCUGAGAGGGCGACCGGCCACACUGGAACUGAGACACGGUCCAGACUCCUACGGGAGGCAGCAGUGGGGAAUCUUCCGCAAUGGGCGCAAGCCUGACGGAGCAACGCCGCGUGAGCGAAGAAGGCCUUCGGGUUGUAAAGCUCUGUCCAGGGGGAAGAAGAACGUGACGGUACCCCUGGAGGAAGCCCCGGCUAACUACGUGCCAGCAGCGCGGUAAAACGUAGGGGGCGAGCGUUGUCCGGAAUUACUGGGCGUAAAGGGCGUGUAGGCGGCAAUGCAAGUCAGGAGUGAAACCCGUCGGCUCAACCGACGGCCUGCUUCUGAAACUGCAUAGCUUGAGUGCAGGAGAGGGAAGUGGAAUUCCCAGUGUAGCGGUGAAAUGCGUAGAUAUUGGGAGGAACACCCAGUGGCGAAAGCGGCUUCCUGGCCUGUAACUGACGCUGAGGCGCGAAAGCGUGGGGAGCAAACAGGAUUAGAUACCCUGGUAGUCCACGCCGUAAACGAUGGGUGCUAGGUGUUGGGGGUAUCGACCCCUCCAGUGCCGCAGUUAACGCAAUAAGCACCCCGCCUGGGGAGUACGGCCGCAAGGCUGAAACUCAAAGGAAUUGACGGGGGCCCGCACAAGCGGUGGAGCAUGUGGUUUAAUUCGACGCAACGCGAAGAACCUUACCAGGUCUUGACAUCCCCUGCCCGCUAUGGAAACAUAGUUUUCUGUUUUCGGACAGACAGGGAGACAGGUGGUGCAUGGUUGUCGUCAGCUCGUGUCGUGAGAUGUUGGGUUAAGUCCCGCAACGAGCGCAACCCCUACCUUUAGUUGCCAGUCCGGCACUCAACUGCAUAUAAGCAAAGUACCAAUAUAUAAUGGAAUUUAAGCAUAUAUGCAGUUGAGUGCCGGAGGAACUCUAAAGGGACUGCCGUUGACAAAACGGAGGAAGGUGGGGAUGACGUCAAAUCAUCAUGCCCUUUAUGAUCUGGGCUACACACGUGCUACAAUGGCCGGUACAGACGGAAGCGAAGCCGUGAGGUGAAGCGAAUCCGAGAAAGCCGGUCCAAGUUCGGAUUGCAGGCUGCAACUCGCCUGCAUGAAGUCGGAAUCGCUAGUAAUCGCAGGUCAGCAUACUGCGGUGAAUACGUUCCCGGGCCUUGUACACACCGCCCGUCACACCACGAAAGUCGGCAACACCCGAAGCCGGUGCGCUAACCUUUCAGGAAGCAGCCGUCGAAGGUGGGGUCGGUAAUUGGGGUGAAGUCGUAACAAGGUAACC